GACGAACGCUGGCGGCGUGCUUAACACAUGCAAGUCGAACGGAAAGGCACUGCUUUUGUGGGGUGCUCGAGUGGCGAACGGGUGAGUAACACGUGAGUAACCUGCCCUUGACUUUGGUAUAACUUCAGGAAACUGGGUCUAAUACCGGAUAGAAGCUCCUGCUGCAUGGUGGGGGUUGGAAAGUUUCGGCGGUUCGGGAUGGAUUCGCGGCUUAUCAGCUUGUUGGUGGGGUAGUGGCUUACCACGGCUUUGACGGGUAGCCGGCCUGGGAGGUUGACCGGGCACAUUGGGACUGAGAUAGGGCGCAGACUCCUACGGGAGGCAGCGGUGGGGAAUAUUGCACAAUGGGCGGAAGCGUGAGGCAGAAACGCCGCGUGCGGGAUGACGGCCUUCGGGUUGUAAACCGCUUUCGCCUGUGACGAAGCGUGAGUGACGGUAAUGGGUAAAGAAGCAACGGCUAACUACGUG
rnacentral:rRNA from 1 species